rnacentral:rRNA from 1 species
AACGAACGCUGGCGGCAGGCUUAACACAUGCAAGUCGAACGCGUGCAGCAAUGCACGAGUGGCGCACGGGUGAGUAACGCGUGGAUAUCUGCCUUUUGGUUCGGCAUAACCCCGGGAAACUGGGGCUAAUACCGGAUGGUUCCUACGGGAUAAAGAUUUAUCGCCAAAAGAUGAGUCCGCGUCCGAUUAGCUAGUUGGUGAGGUAAUGGCUCACCAAGGCGACGAUCGGUAGCUGGUCUGAGAGGACGAUCAGCCACACUGGGACUGAGACACGGCCCAGACGCCUACGGGAGGCAGCAGUGGGGAAUAUUGGACAAUGAGGGCAACCCUGAUCCAGCCAUGCCGCGUGAGUGAUGAAGGCCUUCGAGUGGUAAAGCUCUUUUGGCGGGGACGAUGAUGACGGUACCCGCAGAAUAAGCCCCGGCUAACUUCGUG